rnacentral:rRNA from 1 species
ACAUAUCAAUAAGCGGAGGAAAAGAAAAUAACAAUGAUUUCCCUAGUAACGGCGAGUGAAGAGGAAAGAGCUCAAAGUUGGAAACUGUUUGGCUUAGCUAAACCGUAUUGUAAACUGUAGAAACAUUUUCCUGGCACGCCGGAUUAAUAAGUCCUUUGGAACAAGGCAUCAUGGAGGGUGAGAAUCCCGUCUUUGAUCCGAGUAGUUGUCUUUUGUGAUAUGUUUUCAAAGAGUCAGGUUGUUUGGGAAUGCAGCCUAAAUUGGGUGGUAAAUCUCACCUAAAGCUAAAUAUUUGCGAGAGACCGAUAGCGAACAAGUACCGUGAGGGAAAGAUGAAAAGAACUUUGAAAAGAGAGUUAAACAGUAUGUGAAAUUGUUAAAAGGGAACCGUUUGGAGCCAGACUGGUUUGACUGUAAUCAACCUAGAAUUCGUUCUGGGUGCACUUGCAGUCUAUACCUGCCAACAACAGUUUGAUUUGGAGGAAAAAAUUAGUAGGAAUGUAGCCUCUCGAGGUGUUAUAGCCUACUAUCAUACUCUGGAUUGGACUGAGGAACGCAGCGAAUGCCUUUAGGCGAGAUUGCUGGGUGCUUUCGCUAAUAAAUGUUAGAAUUUCUGCUUCGGGUGGUGCUAAUGUUUAAAGGAGGAACACAUCUAGUAUAUUUUUUAUUCGCUUAGGUUGUUGGCUUAAUGACUCUAAAUGACCCGUCUUGAAACACGGACCAAGGAGUCCACCAUAAGUGCAAGUAUUUGAGUGACAAACUCAUAUGCGUAAGGAAACUGAUUGAUACGAAAUCUUUUGAUGGCAGUAUCACCCGGCGUUGACGUUUUAUACUGAACUGACCGAGGUAAAGCACUUAUGAUGGGACCCGAAAGAUGGUGAACUAUGCCUGAAUAGGGUGAAGCCAGAGGAAACUCUGGUGGAGGCUCGUAGCGAUUCUGACGUGCAAAUCGAUCGUCAAAUUUGGGUAUAGGGGCGAAAGACUAAUCGAACCAUCUAGUAGCUGGUUCCUGCCGA